rfam:Sulfitobacter geojensis strain EhN01 A2_Contig7, whole genome shotgun sequence.
GGGGACCUUCGGGGCCCUAUAACCACAGGCGGGGCAACAUCCCUGCCGCACAGCUAAACGGAAGACAGACA